UACGGGGGGGGGCAAGCGUUGUUCGGAAUUACUGGGCGUAAAGGGCUCGUAGGUGGCCAACUAAGUCAGACGUGAAAUCCCCAGGCUCAACUUGGGAACUGCGUCUGAUACUGGAUGGCUUGAAUUCGGGGAGAGGGAUGCAGAAUUCCUGAGUGUAGCGGUGAAAUGCGCAGAUAUCAGGAGGAACACCAGUGGCGAAGGCGGCUUUCUGGGCCUUACCUGACGCUGAGACGCGAAAGCGUGGGGAGCGAACCGG
rnacentral:rRNA from 1 species